CAGCAGUGAAAAAGAAUGCAAUCUCAGCAUUUGCAACUAUAUGAACAGAACUAGAGGGUACUAUGCUAAGCGAAAUUAGUCAGAAAAAGACAAAUAUCAUAUGACUUCACUCAUAUAAGGAAUU